rnacentral:lncRNA from 1 species
UUCUUAUUGGGCUGAUUUAAAAUUAAACUUUGUACUAACCAUUAAAUAAACUUGUAACAUGGUUUUUGGUUAAAACUUAAUGUUUUUAAGCCCUUUUGGUUAGUUUUCCUUAAAAAAAAUGGUGCAUAAUGUCUUUUGGAGAAUAAAUGUUUUAGGGAGCUAUUAAAAUAGCUUUCUACCCCUUUUACUUAAAAUCUAUGCAAAAUCAACGGUAACAAAAUCAAAUUGUAUAGAUA